CAGAAGAUUUCCAACGUCCCAUGUUCUUAAUGAUAUGUGUUGGUACGUGAUUACCAGAAGCUGCUGUGGCCGCCCCAAUAAGGAAUGAAUGGCCAGAGAAUGAAUGCAGGUUUUGUCCCAGUUUGAGUAACAAUGUGCGUAUGUAUAGCAUGAACUGUUUGGUGGUUAGGGGUUUCCUUUGAAUGGCUAUUAGUGGGGAUUCAGGGUUAGUUGUAAGCUG